AAGGCGGCGUCUAAAUACUGC
rnacentral:misc_RNA from 1 species